GCCUCCCCUAUGACUUUGGCAUUGCUAGUGCUGUACACUACCAGUCGAGCUACAGGGGAGGUUUUCUGGUGCCAGCCUGAACCCAGCUCGCUCUCUUGAUCCCGCUACAAUACUUGGAUAUUGGGAACAUCACUGGGUUCUGUUAAGAUUGUGGAGAUGGCCAGCGUGUUUCGAUCGUCCCUGUCCACUGUCACACAGAGCGGCAUGAGAAACAAACAAAGCAGCAAACUGGAGCGCAGCUAAGCUCAUGCUCACUUCUUUCAGAAUGCAGGUUUUCACAUUUAAUCACAAACAACCAAUCAAUGGCUCUUAUUCAUGAAACAUGAAUUACAGGUGGGGAUCCACACAGUUUGUACGCUGUCUACCUUGGAGUGGAGCAUGCAGAGUCGGCACUGCGAGCGGCUUCCCCUGCAUGUUCUUCACUCCAGGAAGGCUCUCUUUGCUGAGGGAGCCUUCACUAGCGUUCCCUGUGGCGCUAGUCCUGCUUCUGUCGAGGCGGAGCGGUUGGAUCUGGCAGAGGGAAUGGAGACAGGCAAGUCCCUAUUUUCUUCUUCACGUGCCAGAUCCAGUACCCAUUCUCAGGGAUCGGAACCGCACUCUGGCACUACUUCCCCAUGGGGAGUAGGCUCGGUGUUUCACCUGUCUUCCUUCGAGGAGGUUGACGUGAUAGGUGUCGAUGAGGAUUUCCCACCUCAGUAAAAGGAGCUGUUUGAGGUGGUAACUCAUGCUGUGGCCAAGUUGAGCAACGAUUGGCACGCCGAGAAAAAGGCUGAACCUCAGAAAAGAAGUUUGGAUGAACACUGGUGUGUAAAUUGUGGACAAAGUCCUUCUCCUCCCGCUUCUUCAUUCCCGCUUCUGAUCACUACGGCAAUGUGGCGGGACGACGAUGCCACGGAUUGAACAGACACUCGUGAGCUAUCUGUCUCCCGGCUCGGUAUCGUCUUUGAAGGCUCUGGCAUUGCCCAAAGCAGACUCUCAGUCAGUGCAUAGUAGAUGCCAUCUCUACAGCCUAUGAGUCCUCUGAUCCCCCCUCUUCCCUGGGGGGUCAAGGCUCACUCCACCAGAGGUGUGGCGGCCUCUAAGCCCUUCUUUGUGGCUGUUUCUAUGCGGGACAUCUGUGAUGCUGCGAGUUGGUCCAUGCCCUUAACCUUGCCCUAAUCUUCUGUUAAUGAUAUCAAAUGGGAAUACAAGCACAGCCAUAAAUAUACAAUAACCUGCUUUUCAUUUAUUUGCACAACACGAAAAUGUUUUCUCACGUUUAGAAUUGCUAUGCUACAAAUGACUCCACAUUUCACCUUGUUACUGUAGCAAAAUUUAAUAAACUUUAAUUUUCAA